rnacentral:rRNA from 1 species
GAAUUGACGGGGCCCGGCACAAGCGGUGGAGUAUGUGGUUUAAUUCGAUGCAACGCGAAGAACCGUUACCUGGUCUUGACAUCCCGGAGGACCCUUAGGAAACUAAGGGGGUGCUUCCAUCUGGAAGAAUCUGGAGACAGGUGCUGCAUGGCUGUCGUCAGCUCGUGUCGUGAGAUGUUGGGUUAAGUCCCGCAACGAGCGCAACCCUUGCCUUUAGUUGCCAGCAGUUCGGCUGGGCACUCUAAAGGGACUGCCGGUGUUAAACCGGAGGAAGGUGGGGAUGACGUCAAGUCCUCAUGGCCUUUAUGACCAGGGCUACACACGUACUACAAUGGCCGAUACAAAGGGCAGCGACACUGCGAGGUGAAGCCAAUCCCGUAAAAUCGGUCUCAGUCCGGAUUGGAGUCUGCAACUCGACUCCAUGAAGUUGGAAUCGCUAGUAAUCGUGGAUCAGCAUGCCACGGUGAAUACGUUCCCGGGCCUU